CCCUUAGAUGUUCUGGGCCGCACGCGCGCUACACUGACGCAUUCAACGAGUGUACCUUGGCCGAGAGGCCUGGGCAAUCUUUUGAACGUGCAUCGUGAUAGGGAUAGAUUAUUGCAAUUAUUAAUCUUGAACGAGGAAUUCCUAGUAAACGCAGAUCAUCAAUCUGCAUUGAUUACGUCCCUGCCCUUUGUACACACCGCCCGUCGCACCUACCGAUUGGAUGGUCCGGUGAAGCCUCGGGAUUGUGGCGGUUGCCUUUAUUGGUGUCCGCCGCGAGAACUUGUCUAAACCUUAUCAUCUAGAGGAAGGUGAAGUCGUAACA
rnacentral:rRNA from 1 species